GGUGUUUCUCUCUUUUCUUGCUUCCAUGGUCACUUUGAGAGCCAAUGCAGCUGGCCUAUCUUUGGCAGUUCACAGACUGGCACCCAAACAGGGACAAACCACCACACAGGGACUUGCCAUUUCCGCCGAGUCCACCCUUGGCCCAAGAUCAUUCAACAAACACAUAGUGUUGAUGAUCAAGGUACCCAAGCACUCCAGCAGCCAUCAUGAUCAGCCCCCAACAUUAAACUUAUAAAUUAUGUGGAAAGAUCUGGCUAUGGGGCAGUGGCAAGGACCAGCCACAGUGGAAGGAUGGGAGAAGGGGUCUGUUCUUGUUACAGAUUCUGCGGACAAGAUAACAGUACCCUGGACAGCAGUACAGCCUGUUGAGAGUAAAGCAGUUGCUGCUGUUCCAUCAUGAUGGUCUUGCUGUGUCUGCUUAUUCUUCUGUCACUGGAAUGUAUGUCCAUGGAACUCCGCUAGGCCUUGUGGAAUGUCCCACUGUGGUUCUUAUUGGUGACCUGGGAAGAUCCAUCCAGUCCUCUCGGAUGGUCCCAGAGACCACUCGUCCUAUGGACAUGUUAACACCUCUCACUGUAAAACAACUGCAUCAUGAGAAUGUCAUGUGACAAUUUAAUUUUUAAUAACCAGGGAUUAUGGAAUGUCACCUGCAUGGACUAUAUACUUUUGUGAUGUCUAUCUUAUGGAAUGUAUACCAAAGCCCAAGCCCUGAGACCCAGAAAGCAGAUACAUGUAUAUGUUGUCACCCAUACCCCUUUGCGAUCCCACUGUAAUAGGUCUACAAAGGUAUGAUUCCCCU
rnacentral:lncRNA from 1 species